rnacentral:rRNA from 1 species
CCUACGUGAGGCAGCAGUGAGGAAUAUUGGUCAAUGGGCGGGAGCCUGAACCAGCCAAGUCGCGUGAGGGAAGACGGUCCUACGGAUUGUAAACCUCUUUUGCCGGGGAGCAACGGGGUCCUUGCGAGGGCCCAAUGAGAGUACCCGGAGAAAACGCAUCGGCUAACUCCGUGCCAGCAGCCGCGGUAAUACGGAGGAUGCGAGCGUUAUCCGGAUUUAUUGGGUUUAAUGGGUGCGUAGGCUGUCGGAUAAGUUAGAGGUCAAAUGUCGGGGCUUAACCCCGUGCCUGCCUCUGAUACUGUUCGACUAGAGAGCGGAUGCAGCAGGCGGAAUGAGUAGUGUAGCGGUGAAAUGCUUAGAUAUUACUCAGAACACCGAUUGCGCAGGCAGCUUGCUAAUCCGCAUCUGACGCUGAUGCACGAAAGCGUGGGUAGCGAACAGGAUUAGAUACCCGUGUAGUC